UACGAGGGGGGCAAGCGUUGUUCGGAAUUAUUGGGCGUAAAGGGUGCGUAGGCGGUGCGGUAAGUCUGUUGUGAAAUCUCCGGGCUCAACUCGGAGUCUGCAUCAGAAACUGCCGUGCUGGAGUGUGGGAGAGGUGAGUGGAAUUCCCGGUGUAGCGGUGAAAUGCGUAGAGAUCGGGAGGAACACCUGCGGCGAAAGCGGCUCACUGGACCAUAACUGACGCUGAUGCACGAAAGCUAGGGGAGCAAACGGG
rnacentral:rRNA from 1 species